GGGAACAGCUACUUCUAUUCAUUAAGGCUGAGAAAUUCCUGAGAAAUACAUAAUGUUGCCUGCAGUUUUAGUGUUGCUUCUGGCAAGCUUAGACAGUAUUAAUUCAUAUGACCUCACUCAGCCUGAGUUCCUGACUGUUCGACCUGGUGACACUCUGACUAUCAACUGUAAAGUCUCCUAUUCAGUUACUAGUUCGAGUAAUUAUGGAACAGGCUGGAUUCGUCAGCCUGCAGGAGAAGCUCUGGAGUGGAUUGGAGUGAUCUACUAUGAUGGAAGCUUAGCCUACAAGGAUUCACUGAAAAACAAGUUCAGUAUCACCAGAGACACCUCCAGUAACACAAUCACAUUGAAGGGGAAUAAUAUACAAGCUCAAGACACAGCUGUGUAUUAUUGUGCCAGAGAAUCACAGUGACACACACUAACAGCCUUCCAGUACAAAAACAUCAUCAUAUCAUAAAUUAGGACAUUCAUGGAAAAUGUCUGCAACAACAACAACUACUGCCAUU